GCGCGGGUGGUGAAAUGGCAUACACGCUACCUUGAGGUGGUAGUGCCGAAAGGCGUGCAGGUUCGACUCCUGUCCCGCGCA
rnacentral:tRNA from 1 species